CCAGGCCCUGACAUGCAGAGAACUUUCCAGAGAUGGAUUGGUGCCUUCGGGAACUCUGACACAGGUGCUGCAUGGCUGUCGUCAGCCCGUGUCGUGAGAUGUUGGGUUAAGUCCCGUAACGAGCGCAACCCUUGUCCUUAGUUACCAGCACGUUAUGGUGGGCACUCUAAGGAGACUGCCGGUGGACAAACCGGAGGAAGUGGGGAUGACGUCAAGUCAUCAUGGCCCUUACGGCCUGGGCUACACACGUGCUACAAUGGUCGGUACAAAGGGUUGCCAAGCCGCGAGGUGGAGCUAAUCCCAUAAAACCGAUCGUAGUCCGGAUCGCAGUCUGCAACUCGACUGCGUGAAGUCGGAAUCGCUAGUAAUCGUGAAUCAGAAUGUCACGGUGAAUACGUUCCCGGGCCUU
rnacentral:rRNA from 1 species